GGCUAUAGAGGCUACCAUCUAUGAAUGUGCCACUCUGCAGAGCAUAUUCUAUGAUCCUGUACCUGCAGCAGCUUCAGCAAGGCUGGGCCUGCCUCUUACCCCUUCGUGGCCAGAGGGCAGCUGCUGAUGUAAUGAGCUUUCCAGUCUACUAGCAGUGCAAAGCAUGCUGGGAAGGCCUACAAGGCCUUUGGUGGACUCUCUGCUUCCAGCUUCCAGUUUCAAUAAUGGACACCUUGCCUGGCUUAUUUGUGUGUUUCUUGGAUUGGCUGACUGAAACAGAGGUUCUGAUCAUCCAUUAGGGGUGUGCACAGAACUGGCCGGUCUGGUCCGGUUCGAGUCUGAACUGGACCGGGCCUGUUUGGUCUGGGUCCCGAACGGGCCUGUUUGGGCAACCUCCAUGGACCUCCCCCCUCCCCCGCCACCUCGAGCAACUCCCCCAGAGGGGGUGAACCAAAGAGAGACAAAAGCCCUAAACGUGUCUCACUAAAAUGAUGGGGAAAUUUCAGCUGCUGUGAGGAAGCAGUUCCUUAAUAUAAAGCAGCAAAUAUGGAUCUGUUUCAAAAGAACAAACUCUCAUUCAAAAGUGCCAUGCCUCAAUAUUAUGCACAUGGAUAAAAUAUUAUGGAUCAACAACGUCAGCAACAUUCAAGGUUGCGCCAGGAUAUACCUUCAAAUGCUAGAAAGCACAAAUAUUAUAGGUUGGUUUGAGCAAUACUUUUCCAGCCCCCAUGAUUAAAAGGGGAACUAGUUUAAACAAGCAGCUGGAAUAUGUGUAGAGGAAGCAGUUCAGAUUAUCUGUUUCCCACCGCGCACACACAUAUAAACACACAAUAAAGGACUGCACAAGGAGAGUGUCAGGACAUCCGUGAAAGCUGUCACAAUGAUUGUGCUCUCAGUAUGCCCCUCUUUUAGUUUGGGAUGGGGAGGAGUAUUAUCCAAACCAGCCCAAAUCUUUCAGUUUCUUUUUCAUCUC